UAAGUACUUCCUUCGUCCGAAAAUACUUGCCAUAAAAAUGGAUGUAUCUAGAUCUAUUUUAGUUCUAGAUACAUUCAUUUUUAUUCAUUUGUGAUAUAGAUAAUUUCGGACGCAGGGAGUACAUC
rnacentral:pre_miRNA from 1 species